GGAGAGGUGGCUGAGUGGUCGAAAGCGGCAGAUUGCUAAUCUGUUGUACAGUUAUAAUUGUACCGAGGGUUCGAAUCCCUUCCUCUCCU
rnacentral:tRNA from 1 species